GCUGCCUUCAGGAAGUCACUGGACUGGAAAUGAAGAUGCUGAAAAUUCCUGACCAGACUCUCUGAAACAUUUUAGCUCCAUGACUUCACAGCAUUGCGCUUGUUUCCUCACAUAGAAAAUGAAGGGUUCAGGUCUUUAAAGAACUUUCUAGGUCUAAAAACAGUCAGUGAAUAAUUUAUGGAAAUGCACUGGAUGUGAUUUCUCCUACUGCUGCUGUUGUUCAUGGACCUGACUGGUUUUUUCUGGACAGUAAAAGGGCCUCACACAUUGAUGAACCUUUCCCCCCAUAUCCCUGCUACUUUCUCACCAUGCUGCCACUGCUGGGUCACGCAGAAAACAGGGGCACUAGGCCGUGGGUGGAGAUUCUGGGUAGUGGAUGGUGUCAUCUGAGUUGAUCCAGGGCGCCCAGAGUUCAUGCCUCCCGUGCCAUCAGUAUUUCUGCCAUGAGCUCAUUCACACAGCAUUCAUUCACUCAAAAUGUUAGCAGUAUAUAUAUGUACAGAGACGAUCACAAACAUUAAAAUCCAAAACAAAAUGUAUCACUAAGGAUACCAACAAGGAGCAGAUGGCUCACACAAAUUAGGAGGUAUCAAAGAAGGGUUAUUUACAAAGAGACUCUUUAUGAAAAUGUGGGAAGCACAAAGGAUGCUACAGUGACCUGAGGUUAAUAGCAGUGGAGUAGCCACCAUGACUAAGACUGAAGGGACAAGGGAGUGGUGUCUGGAAUUCUUAAGAAUCUCAAAAAGGGGACCCUCUGAAGAGGAGCAGUGACAUUUGGUUGAGCAGCACAAACAGCCCAAGGCAAUCUCUCAGAAAGGGAUCCAAAGAGAAUAAAUAACCUGAAGAUACUGUCUUCUCUCCCUCUUAUCUGCUGCCAAGUCUAUUCCCUGGAUAAACCCAACUGGAAGCCAAGGGAACCAGAACAAAAGAUUACUCUUUGAGCUUCAAUGGUGACUUCAACAUCUAAUGGAUGCUCAUGGAGGUAAGUGAAAAGGGACUAAAAGACUUCCUGGUCAGCAGGACCAGAAAAAUACCAAAAGGGCAUUUGUGUAUCUAUGGAAGGAAUAUCCAGGUCAGCGAUUGGUGCAGGACUCCAGAAACAGAAAAGGGAUGGUGCAAGAUUUUUGAUAGUGCUUAUUUAUACACUGAACAAGAGAGAGAGUGCUCAGGCCUGAGAAUGGAACCAAUUCCGUCCCCCUGCUUGGCAUCCUUUGCAGAGAGGGACACAUCAGGGAUUAUCUCCCAGUUCCAUGAAAUGUCAGGACUACAUAACCAACCCCUUUGUCUUUGUACUUAUUCUUAGAGAAGCCUCUGAUUCUGAUCUGACAUGAUUUGUAAUGGCUACAAACCGAG
rnacentral:lncRNA from 1 species